rnacentral:rRNA from 1 species
AGUGAACGCUGGCGGCAUGCCUAAUACAUGCAAGUCGAAGGAAGUGGCGCACGGGUGAGUAAUAUAUAGCUAAUCUGCCCCUUGCGGGGGGACAACAGUUAGAAAUGAGUGCUAAUACUCCAAAUCCUGGGAUGAGACUAUAUCGUAUCAGCUCGUCGGUGGGGUAACGGCCUACCGAGGCGAUGACGAGUAACUGGUCUGAGAGGAUGAUCAGUCACAUUGGAAGUGAGACACGGUCCAAAAUCCUACGGGAGGGAGCAGUAGGGAAUAUUGCGCAAUGGGGGAAUCCCUGACGCAGCCACGCCGGGUGGAGGAUGACAAUUUGCGGAGCGGAAUCUCCUUUUGUUAGAGAAGCGGUACCUAACGAAUAAGCACCGGCUAACUCCGUGCCAGCAGCCGCGGUAAUUC